AACGCACAUUGCGCCCCUUGGCAUUCCGAGGGGCAUGCCUGUUCGAGCGUCAUUACAACCCUCAAGCUCUGCUUGGUAUUGGGCGCCGUCCUCUCUGCGGACGCGCCUCAAAGACCUCGGCGGUGGCUGUUCAGCCCUCAAGCGUAGUAGAAUACACCUCGCUUUGGAGCGGUUGGCGUCGCCCGCCGGACGAACCUUCUGAACUUUUUCUCAAGGUUGACCUCGGAUCAGGUAGGGAUACCCGCUGAACUUAA
rnacentral:misc_RNA from 1 species